UACGUAGGGUGCGAGCGUUAAUCGGAAUUACUGGGCGUAAAGGGCGCGUAGGCGGCCCGGUAAGUAGGGGGUGAAAUCCUGCGGCUUAACCGCAGGGCUGCCUUCUAAACUGUCGGGCUCGAGCACGGUAGAGGCAGAUGGAAUUCCCGGUGUAGCGGUGGAAUGCGUAGAGAUCGGGAAGAACAUCAGUGGCGAAGGCGGUCUGCUGGGCCGUUGCUGACGCUGAGGCGCGACAGCGUGGGGAGCAAACAGG
rnacentral:rRNA from 1 species